AAAAGACACCACACACGACCCUUUCUUCCCCCUUCCCCGCUCGGGCACUUUAAAGAAACAGUAGUCUUAUCCCCCUUGAUUAGCAAACUGCCUUUUUGCCUCGAUAAUUGUUUCAUUUAGCCGCAGCGAACCACGAGGGAGGAAAUCCUUGGCAUUUGUUAGGAGGACUCAUCUGCACAACCAUUCUCUGGCCUCCCAGUAGCUGCAGCUACUCCAUUUUGUUAGGAGACAUU
rnacentral:lncRNA from 1 species